AACGAACGCUGGCGGCAGGCUUAACACAUGCAAGUCGAACGCAUCGCAAGAUGAGUGGCAGACGGGUGAGUAACGCGUGGGAACGUGCCCUUUACUACGGAAUAACUCAGGGAAACUUGUGCUAAUACCGUAUGUGCCCUUCGGGGAAAGAUUAUCGGUAAAGGAUCGGCCCGCGCUGGAUUAGCUAGUUGGUGGGGUAAAGGCCUACCAAGGCGACGAUCCAUAGCUGGUCUGAGAGGAUGAUCAGCCACAUUGGGACUGAGACACGGCCCAAACUCCUACGGGAGGCAGCAGUGGGGAAUAUUGGACAAUGGGCGCAAGCCUGAUCCAGCCAUGCCGCGUGAGUGAUGAAGGCCCUAGGGUUGUAAAGCUCUUUCACCGGUGAAGAUAAUGACGGUAACCGGAGAAGAAGCCCCGGCUAACUUCGUGCCAGCAGCCGCGGUAAUACGAAGGGGGCUAGCGUUGUUCGGAAAUACUGGGCGUAAAGCGCACGUAGGCGGGUAUUUAAGUCAGGGUGAAAUCCCGGAGCUCAACUCCGGAACUGCCUUUGAUACUGGGUACCUAGAGUAUGG
rnacentral:rRNA from 1 species